UUUCGGCUUUUUUUCAAUGCUAAUUUGUGAACUCGGUCAGGCCUGGAAGGGAGCAGCCGUAGCAGAUGAUGCAUGUGAGAGAGUUUAGCUGUUAAAG
rnacentral:SRP_RNA from 1 species